rnacentral:pre_miRNA from 1 species
ACUAAUUUUGUUUUCUUGUAAACUCCGAUAGAAUGAUUCAUAAGAUUGACUAUAAAACAUGUUUGAAUGGCCAUGACAAAGUAUU